ensembl:misc_RNA Y_RNA Y RNA
GGCUGGUCCGAAGGUAGUGAGUUAUCCUAAUUGAUGUUACAGAUUGAAAUCUUUGUUAUUCUCUUUCCCCCCUUUCUCACUAUUGUACUUCUAGUCUUAA